rnacentral:rRNA from 1 species
UACAGAGGUCUCAAGCGUUGUUCGGAUUCAUUGGGCGUAAAGGGUGUGUAAGUGGCGCCGUUAGUCGGGUGUGAAAUUUCGGAGCUUAACUCCGAAACUGCAUUCGAUACUGCGGUGCUUGAGGACUGGAGAGGAGACUGGAAUUCAUGGUGUAGCAGUGAAAUGCGUAGAGAUCAUGAGGAAGACCAGUGGCGAAGGCGGGUCUCUGGACAGUUCCUGACACUGAGACACGAAGGCCAGGGGAGCAAACGGG